rnacentral:rRNA from 1 species
UACGGGUGGCAGCAACCGGGAAUUGUGCGCAAUGGACGAAAGUCUGACGCCGCGACGCCGCGUGUGGGAUGACGGCCUUCGGGUUGUACACCACUUUUGCCAAGCACUAAUGAGCUUGGAGAAUAAGCACCGGCUCAACUCCGUGCCAGCAGCAGCGGUAAUACGGAGGGUGCAAGCGUUGUCCGGAUUUAUUGGGCGUAAAGGGUUCGUAGGCGUCUUGUUAAGUCAUCUUUCAAAGCCCUCGGCUCAACCGAGGAAAGGGGGAUGAUACUGACUAGGAUUGAAAGUUUCCGGGGCUACUGGAACUGUCGGUGUAGGAGUGAAAUCCGUUGAUAUCGACAGGAACACCAAGGGCGAAGGCGGGUAGCUAGGAAUGCUUUGACGCUGAAGAACGAAAGCCAGGGGAGCGAAAGGGAUUAGAGACCCCUGUAGUCCUGGCCGUAAACUAUGCUCGCUAGGGAUUGGGAGCUUGCUCUCAGUUCCGCAAGCUAACGCGUGAAGCGAGCCGCCUUGGGUCCGCCCUUGUACGCAAGUUUUACACUCCCAUGGAAUUUGAUCUGGGACCGCACAACCAGUGGAGCAUGUGGUUUCAUUUGAGUACGAACCGAAGCACCCUACCGGGGUUUGACAUGCUAGCUGCACGUCGCUGGAGACAGCGAUUUCUUAGAGAGUGCUAGCGCACGCGUGUUGCAUGGCUGUCGUCAGCUCGUGCCGUGGGGUGUUCCCUUCAGUGGGGUAACGAGCGCAACCCCCGCUGUAUGUUAAAUUAUUCAUACAGGACUCCCCGAUUUUUUAUCGGGGGGAAGUGGGGACGACGUCAAGUCAGCAUGGCCCUUAUGUCCCGGGCUACACACAUGCUACAAUGAGGCCGACAAUGGGUUGCCAAGCAGUAAUGCGGAGCUAAUCCUCUCAAACGGCCUCUCAGUGGGGAUUGAGGGCUGCAACUCGCCCUCAUGAACGCGGAAUUGGUAGUAAUCGCAGAUCAGCCAAGCUGCGGUGAAUACGUUCUCGGGUCUUGUACACACCGUCCCGUCAAGUCAGCAAAGUUGGGGGCACCCGAAUGCCGUCAAGUUGCGGCAGAAGUGU